UCGGCUCUCAUAUCAUCAAAGAAAUAAGCUUAGAAGUACUUGGAACAUUUUAACUAAAGUCUUAAGUUCAGACACACUUGUUUUAAUAUACUUGGAGGUUAGCAUUCAAUAAAAAUGGAACUUGCAACAUAAAACCAGCAAACACUAAGGAUGUCGGUAUUGAUGGCCCUCCUGCAAGACCAGUGGCUGUUAUCUGAGCAUGGAAAUCUUUUGAACAAGGAAGAUGGUAGAAUGAAUAAGGGAUAAGGAGGGCUAUCAAGUAUAGAAGAAAAUUUUAAAUCCUCCUUUGGAAAAUUCCUUAGUUCUCUAUUUGGGAAUGGAAAUUAAGUACACCUAGUUUCUGAAGGGAUUGUUGUUUUGUGUUCAGUAACUGUCCUCACAAAAACAUUAAGUAUAAAAUAGAUAUGGCUUGUAGAAACACUUUGAAAUAUGAAAUGUCUCCCUCCCUCCCUCUAUGUGUGUACACACACACACACACACACACACACACACACACACACACACCCAAGAGAUUAAAAGAGGAACUAUAUUUAGGAGGGGAGGGAUAAAACUAGGAAAACCUCCUUGACUUGAGUCUUGGAAGUAGUCUUUCCUCCCUUCUGUGCAGAGUUGAGGGGGUUUUUUUUGGUAGCAUAGUCAUAAACCAAAACCUCUUUUCCUCUUGGCCUUGGAAAACAUUAAAGAGCUACUGAUGAGCAAAGUUGGAAGCUAAAUAUUAAUAUUCUAAUUGCCAGUCCAGUGGUCAUUUUCUUAAGUUCUUCUGAUGGAAUGUAGUUAUACUACAUUCCUCAGAAAUAAUCAAGACUUUGACAACUUUGAAAAAUGUGCUCGAAAUGGUGGUUGUUGUAAAAGCAAUGUCAAUGUGACAGGGCAGGAAGACUGCAGAGCACCAUUAGGUUAGACUCCAGUUGCUGUUGUUUUACUUGUUUGAUGGUGGACAGUCCCGAGUGUGUUUGAACCUCGGGUUUCAUGUUUUAAAAUGAAGGCUUUAGAGUCAAACCCAAGUUCUAAUAAACUCUUAGUAAACAUCUAUUAUUGUUAUUGGUAUGUUGGUUAAUUAAACAGUAUUGAUGGUUGUAAACACCAAAACCAUGUUUUCUCAAAAACCUUUAUUUGAGCUUUAAACUGAAGAAUAUUCUUGUAGGAUGUCUGUCCCGGAGUAAUAGGAAAAGCAUUCAUGGGUUGUUAUGACCUAGUUUUCCAUUCUCCACUUAUAAGCAGCUUUCUUCUAGUGGCAGAUUGGGUUGAGUGCACAUGGCCUCUUCUGUAAGGGAAGGAGGAUAUAGUAAACUUCAUAGUGUUUUGCCAGACAUUCAUAUUUCAUUAUGAAAUAUAUAACUCAUUUCAUUUCACAUGUUAGUUAUCAAAGCCAUAUCAUACUCUUUUUACUUCAUUUGAAUAAAUUGACAUUUAACCACUAAAUAAAAAGAAUGCCUUAUUAAACCAACAUCAAAGAAAAUUUUAUCUGACGUUUAUUUCCUUAAGUAUUACUUGAAUAAAACAUACAUGAUUAGGGCCUUCAGAUGAAAGGAGAAAGAAGCUAUUUAAAUUUUUAAAUUGAACAAAUCUGUCUCAGGAACAGAAAUCCCAGAAAAAAAGAAGGGAAAACAAACAACAGUUUCAUUUAAAAAUUAAGCUUAAAAAGUAACUGCUUUAAAUUUCACAUUUAUUUAUAUUACCAGACUAAGAAUACUCUUUUUUUCCACAUCUCACCAUAUACUUUCCAUGUGGACUAUGAAGAUACUGUAAAUUAACUGUUAUAACAAAGGAUUCAAUGUAACAAUGUUCUUUUUAGUAUUUUAUAAUGCUCUUAUU